rnacentral:lncRNA from 1 species
AGGAUUUUCUAGAUGUGAUCAGUAGUGAUGUUAGCAGAUGGAUAAUGAAAUGUUUCAGCAUCUCAAAGACCUGCACAAGUCAGUCAACCGAUACAUUUACAAAUGAACAAUGGAUAAUGAUACAAAAUCAUACAUGGAUAAUGGAUCCAUUCAAAGUGGAGAGAGAUCUUGUGCUAGUGAGGGGGGAGAGGGAGAGAGACAAUCUCAAGCAGACUUCCACUGAGCACGAGCUAACAUGGGACUGGAUCUCAGGGGCCUGAGAUCAUGAUCUGAGCUAAAACCAGGAGUCAGUCGCUUAGCCCACUGAGCCACCC